GAGCAGGUCCCCACGGAAUCAAUUCUGAAGCACUUAGAGGAGAGGAAAGUGAUCAGGAACAGUCAGCAUGGAUUCACCAAGGGCAAGUCAUGCCUGACUAACCUAAUUGCCUUCUAUGAUGAGAUAACUGGCUCUGUGGAUGAGCGGAAAGCAGUGGAUGUGUUAUUCCUUGACUUUACCAAAGCUUUUGAUAUGGUCUCCCACAGUAUUGUUGCCAGCAAGUUAAAGAAGUAUGGGCUGGAUGAAUGGAUGAUAGGGUGGACAGAAAGCUGACGAGAUUGCUGGGCUCAACGGGUAGUGAUCAAUGGCUCCAUGUCUAGUUGGCAGCCAGUAUCAAGUGGAGUUCCCCAA